rnacentral:rRNA from 1 species
UACGGGGGGGGCAAGCGUUGUUCGGAAUUACUGGGCGUAAAGGGCUCGUAGGCGGCCAACUAAGUCAUACGUGAAAUCCCUCGGCUUAACCGGGGAACUGCGUCUGAUACGGGUGGGCUGGAGUUCGGUAGGGGAGACUGGAAUUCCUGGUGUAGCGGUGAAAUGCGCAGAUAUCAGGAGGAACACCGGUGGCGAAGGCGGGUCUCUGGGCCGAUACUGACGCUGAGGAGCGAAAGCGUGGGGAGCGAACAGG